UCAAGCCGGUGAUGAAUCGUUAUCCCUGUCAGACACUCGUUGUUGAAGAUAUGUAAUAGGCUGAGGCUUGA